CCCUUAGAUGUCCUGGGCCGCACGCGCGCUACACUGAUGCAUGCAACGAGUUUCACUUUUCCUGGGUCGAGAGGCCCGGGUAAUCUGUUGAACGUGCAUCGUGAUAGGGAUAGAUCAUUGCAAUUAUUGAUCUUGAACGAGGAAUUCCUAGUAAACGCGAGUCAUCAGCUCGCAUUGAUUACGUCCCUGCCCUUUGUACACACCGCCCGUCGCUCCUACCGAUUGAGUGGUCCGGUGAGGCUUUGGGAUCUGAGCGGAAAGAGCGUUUCGCUGUUUCUGCUCGGAAAACUCAGUCGAACCUUAUCAUUUAGAGGAAGGAGAAGUCGUAACA
rnacentral:rRNA from 1 species